rnacentral:rRNA from 1 species
GACGGAAGGUGCAAGCGUUGCUCGGAAUCACUGGGCGUAAAGGGUGCGUAGGCGGCCGUGCAAGUCUGGCGUGAAAGCCCCGGGCUCAGCCCGGGAAGUGCGCUCGAAACUGCGCGGCUCGAGUGCCGGAGGGGAGAGUGGAAUUCCUGGUGUAGCGGUGAAAUGCGUAGAUAUCAGGAGGAACACCGAUGGCGAAGGCAGCUCGCUGGGACGGUACUGACGCUGAGGCGCGAAAGCGUGGGGAGCGAACAGG